rnacentral:sRNA from 1 species
AACGAAAUAAUUAUUAAAAAAUAUAUCAAAAACUGUGGGUUUGAAUGGUUACGGCGGUUGAGCGAAUUUACCAUUCAUCAAUUAUAGUCUGCAGUGGUCCGGACUAAAAAAAUAGAAAAAAACCGCUGCGGACCAUCUGCGGACUGUUUUUACAUACAAAUAAAUUUGGUACGCAGCGGUUUAUUGUUCGCCCCAAAAAUAAAAUGGAUUAAACCGCAGACAAAUUACCGCUUUGUCCGCUGCCUACAUUCAUAGCUGUCUCUGCUCUUUCCAACUUGGCCACUCCUUUUUAUAACAACACUCGAAAUUGAAAAUCA